rnacentral:lncRNA from 1 species
UAACAUGUGGUCCACCUUUACAACAUGGGUUUCUUCGCUAACACCGUCUUGGAUCUGUUCUGGGAUCGCAGAACACAUUUUUACGUCACAACCAAAUGGCAUGCUCGUUCACGAGCACCCCUCAAGCGCUUUACCUGAGGCUGUGACUUCAACGUCUCCGAGAAGGCAGGAACACGGCAACUCCAGCUUUCUUGUUUAGGUUGGCUAUGUUGGAACGCAGGAUUAUGUUGUCAGCUUGCAAGGAAGUAUUUCGCGUUUUCAGCGCAAGAUUUCACCGGAAAUAUAUAUAUAUUUUUUUUUUGCGUGACUUGAAUCUCAGCGGAAGUUGCCCAUUAAGCGCAAUCUGCGAAGCAAUGACAGUGUCAGCAGUUAUACACCUUUCAAUUCGCUUUGUUUCCACGAACUUUGAUUGAGUGAAUCGAAUAGGCCCAGGAGACCCAGCACGACUUCUAAAUUGAAAGUGAAUAAGAGGCUAAAACAAACAACACACGCACGAAUACAAAACUACGUGACGAAACACCUUAUCUUCAUUAGGAAAGAGAAAACAGGUAGGUAACCCCCGGUAAUAUUCAGGCGCAUGCGUAAAAACCAAUACUAAACUGAACACAAAAAAACAUAAUCUAAAGAUCAGUCACCCAAUAUGAUGCGACAAAAAAAAAUCUUUAACGCCGAAGUACAAAGGCGUUGCGCUUACACAAGUGUUUCGCGGUCCACCGUUGUUUUAGCUAUUAGGUUAUUCACCUCGAAUAAUGUCCUAGCAGCCUCCUGCGCAUGCGCGAGAACAAUCAUAGUAGUGAAUGCAAAAGGAAUUCAGUCUAAUACUUAAUUACCAGAUCUGGUGUCACUUAGUGAUAAGGAAGGCCGAGGUCUGGUAAUACGAGAUGUGGUACCAGAUCUGGUACAGGUAGAAAUCGGCCGUCCUUAUUGCAAAGGUUUAAGGAUGUUGCACUUGUGCCCAUUUUUAUCUUGCCUAUACCGACGUCUUCAGCUCGUUGUUGACUGUCAGUCAUGCGCCAAGUAGCCCUGCUUUCUAAAUUGUCCACUUUAUGAAACGAAUAUUCUUA